rnacentral:rRNA from 1 species
UACGAAGGGGGCUAGCGUUGUUCGGAAUUACUGGGCGUAAAGCGUAUGCAGGCGGAUCGUUAAGUCGGGGGUGAAAUCCCGAGGCUCAACCUCGGAACUGCCUUCGAUACUGGCGACCUUCGAGUCCGGGAGAGGUGAGUGGAACUCCGAGUGUAGAGGCGAAAUUCGUAGAUAUUCGGAAGAACACCAGUGGCGAAGGCGGCUCACUGGCCCGGUACUGACGCUGAGAUACGAAAGCGUGGGGAGCAAACAGG